rnacentral:rRNA from 1 species
UUUACAGCCACCCUGACAUCUCUCACCACACCAAUAGAACCAUCUACUACAUCCACCAGCGAACCAACUACACCACAAACCAUGCCGCAGGGCCGUUCCCUCAUCUCCACCUAACUCAAGCCCAACCCUUGUACCUUUUGCAUCAUGGCCUAGCAAGCCCCGAAGUAAUCCAAAACCCCGAAAUCUAAGUGAGCUAGAAACAUGCCGUCAAGAACCCACAGCACUUUGUUGCAUCAAGGCCUACAGACAUGUUACUAGAGGCUACAUACCUACCGCACAAGAAAAUAGCUGGUUCUCAACCCCAUCGUCACAGCGACACAAUCUUGAAGCCCCGGUCUCUCCCCCCUAUCCAGAUUUCCUACGCCUCCAAGGACAAGCUUAGAGGCCCUCACUAUUACCACAUAAAGCACUCCCCCUUCUAAAGGCCCAACACCAGCCACAAGAAAUUUGAACGUCCUAGUCUCCUCUGACAACAGCUAAAAAUACUGCCCAAAUACCCAUGCUACCCCUAUCUGAGCCCCCAGACAAACCCAAAUCCCCUGGCACGACUCUGCUAAGAUUAGUAUUUACGGCCCCUAACCGCCCACUGCCCUAAACAAACCCCUAUAAUUGCCCACUCAUCCAACCCAUAGAGAAGGAACUCGGCAAACACCCGACCCGACUGUUUACCAAAAACAUUGCCUCCAGGACCACCUAUUGGAGGUACAUCCUGCCCAGUGAUCUUUUCAACGGCCGCGGUAUCCUGACCGUGCGAAGGUAGCAUAAUCAUUUGCCUUUUAAUUGAAGGCUAGUAUGAACGGAUAAACGAGGUCCAAGCUGUCUCCUCUAUGCCAGUAAAAAUUAGCCCUCAGGUGAAGAGACCUGAAUCCAAAUAAAAGACAAGAAGACCCCGUUGAGUUUAAGUCAAGCCCGGCCCUCCUAGCCAGUGACACUUUAGUUGGGGCGACUAAGGACUACCUAAACCGUCCUUCCCACCAUAAGACCCGUCAGUCUUACGCAAUGACCCUUCACAUAAGAUCCAGAGAACCAACUACCACGGGGAUAACAGGCUUAUCUUCCUAGAGAGCCCAAAUUGAUAGGAAGGUCUGGCACCUCGAUGUUGGCUUAGGGAAGCCAGGAAGCGCAGAAGCUUCCACAGGCUAGUUUGUUCAACUAUUAAACCCCUACAUGAGCUGAGUUCAGACCGGCGCAAGCCAGGUUAGUUUCUAUCUUUAUUUUAACCCCGACAUCUCUCUUGAUAGUACGAAAGGACCUUGAGACGAGAAACUUUUUCAACCGUAAAACCACGAAAAAAUAUAAACUACCAUUAAGUAAUACUAAACUA